rnacentral:lncRNA from 1 species
ACGGGGUUUUUUAGUUUUUACAUUGUAAAUUGUGCAGCAUAGUUGUGUAUUGAGUCACAAGGGUGCAGUACACAUGGAAAAAGUGAUGAUGUUAGAGAAACCAAAAGUAAUAGUAGGAAGUCCUAGAGAAAACAAGCAGCAAUGGGGCUUAGAGCCUGAGUGUAAUAUCCAGUUAGUAACAGGGACAGGGAUGUCACAAUAGCAGUGAGAAAGAAUGCUGAGAAUGUGAGUCCAGUUGCAUGCAAGUUGGUAGAUUCGAUGGUGGAAGAGAAUUUUUCUUACUUCCGUGAGUUUUUCACUGAGAGUAAAGGUGGUCUGGAGAGAAUGUGGAAUUUGAAAGAAGAACUAAAGAUAUCCUUAAGGCAUGAAAGUUUAUCCUUUCACCAGAGACUACAAUUAAUAUUUCAAGGCUGAAUUAGAUCUGCUCACCUAAAAUGGAACAGAAGGCCGCAAGGAAAACAUUGUCAGGAGAAGGGGUGAUCUCUGCACAAACUGGCUCCCCUUCGCCUUCCACCAAGAGUGGAAGCAGCCUGAGACACCCAGUCUUCUAACCAGCAGAUCAUGAGCCAAAUAAACCUUUUUUCUUGACAAAGAAAAAGAUUGUGGAUCCUCAAUUUAUGACAUUCCUGAUUUUUCGGACAACACCAAUUUCACAUAUUAUCAUCUAUUAUGAGUAUAUGUGUCCUAAUCAUUUGAAAAACGAGGCAGGUCUCACCCAACAACUGGCCAGUGCCAUGGUGCAAAGGUUCAGGCCACUUUAGAAAAUCUCUGAAGGGUCAUCUCAACUCUAAAGCUUCCCACAUGAUUUUCGGAGCUUCUGUUGCAAUUACAUUACAGUCGAACUACUAACACUCUGAGAAAGUAGGAAUUGAUGC